rnacentral:rRNA from 1 species
AUUGAACGCUGGCGGCAGGCCUAACACAUGCAAGUCGAGCGAGCGGCGGACGGGUGAGUAAUGUAUGGGGACUGCCCGAUAGAGGGGGAUAACUACUGGAAACGGUGGCUAAUACCGCAUACUGUCGGAUAACCCAUAUGGGAUUAGCUAGUAUGUAAGGUGAUGGCUGACCUAGGCGACGACCCCUAGCUGGUCUGAGAGGAUGAUCAGCCAAGCGGGUACGGAGACACGGGCCGGACUCCUACGGAGGCAGCAGGGGGGAAUAUUGCACGAUGGAGGCAACCCUGAUGCAGACACGCCGCGUGUAUGAAGAAGGCCCGAAGGUUGGAAAGUAGUUUCAGUCGGGAGGCGUUACCGACAGAAGAAGGCCCGGCUCACUCCGUGCCAGCAGCCGCGGUAAUUC